UACGUAGGGUGCAAGCGUUGUCCGGAAUUAUUGGGCGUAAAGAGUUCGUAGGCGGUCUGUCGCGUCUGCUGUGAAAAUCCGGGGCUCAACCCCGGACUUGCAGUGGGUACGGGCAGACUAGAGUGUGGUAGGGGAGAAUGGAAUUCCUGGUGUAGCGGUGAAAUGCGCAGAUAUCGGGAAGAACACCCGUGGCGAAGGCGGUUCUCUGGGACGGUACUGACGCUGAGACGCGAAAGCGUGGGGAGCGAACAGG
rnacentral:rRNA from 1 species